CACGUAGGGCGCAAGCGUUGUCCGGAAUUAUUGGGCGUAAAGAGCUCGUAGGCGGCUCUUUAAGUCGGAGGUGAAAUCCUGGAGCUCAACUCCAGAACUGCCUUCGAUACUGUAGAGCUUGAGUUCGGGAGAGGUGAGUGGAACUGAGAGUGUAGAGGUGAAAUUCGUAGAUAUUCGCAAGAACACCAGUGGCGAAGGCGGCUCACUGGCCCGAUACUGACGCUGAGGUGCGAAAGCGUGGGGAGCAAACAGG
rnacentral:rRNA from 1 species